CCUCACAUGUCUCGUAUGAUUCAAAAUCAAACGAAGUUAGAAGUCCAUCAGAAUGGAGCUUCUUCAUGCGCUUUUCACUUAUAUGACCCAAACGACAAUGCCACAAGUAGGUAGGACUCAAAUCAUUAGGCUGAGGCCUUUUAGCACUUACGUUACAGACAGGUGAACCAUCAAGAUUUAAAACAAAUAAUCCAUUCACAAUGGGUGCAAAAGCCAUAAACAUAUCAUUCUUAGAGAUCACACAACCAUUAUUUUCACUCGCAAAUGAAUAACCAUCCUUCAUCAAGCAUGAAGGAGACAAAAUGUUUCGACUUAAAC
rnacentral:lncRNA from 1 species